rnacentral:rRNA from 1 species
UACGAAGGGGGCUAGCGUUGUUCGGAUUUACUGGGCGUAAAGCGCGUGUAGGCGGGUCGUUAAGUUGGGGGUGAAAUCCCGAGGCUCAACCUCGGAACUGCCUUCAAAACUGGCGACCUGGAGCAAAGAAGAGGCGAGUGGAAUUGCGAGUGUAGAGGUGAAAUUCGUAGAUAUUCGCAAGAACACCAGUGGCGAAGGCGGCUCGCUGGCCCGAUACUGACGCUGAGGCACGAAAGCGUGGGGAGCAAACAGGG